GAAGAAAGGAAAGAAGAGUGGAAGAAGGAAAGAAUAAAGGAAAGAAGAGUGAAGAAAGGAAAGAAGAAAAGAAAGAAGAGUGAAAGAAGGAAAGAAGAAAGCAAAGAAGAGUGAAGAAAGGAAAGAAGAGUGGAAGAAGAAAAGAAGAGUUGAAGAAGGAAGGAAGAGUGGAAGAAGGAAAGAAGAGUGAAGAAAGGAAAGAAGAGUUGAAGAAGGAAGGAAGAGUGGAAGAAGGAAAGAAGAAAAGAAAGAAGAGUGAAGAAAGGAAAGAAGAGUGGAAGAAAGGAAAGAAGAGAAAGAAGAGUGAAGAAAGGAAAGAAGAGUGAAAGAAGGAAAGAAGUGGAAGAAGGAAAGAAAAAAGAAAGAAGAGUGGAAGAAGGAAAGAAGAAAGGAAAGAAGAGUGAAAGAAGGAAAGAAGAAAGGAAAGAAGAGUGGAAGAAAGGAAAGAAGAAAGGAAAGAAGAGUGAAGAAAGGAAAGAAGAGUGAAAGAAGGAAAGAAGUGGAAGAAGGAAAGAAAAAAGAAAGAAGAGUGGAAGAAGGAAAGAAGAGUGGAAGAAGGAAAGAAGAAGAGUGGAAGAAGGAAAGAAUAAUAUUCCUAGUUAUACAGUUGAAUUGAGAGGGACAGAGAGAGAAGAGGAGCCUUGGAACCUUGGCGCAGGUGUCAGUGAAGCACAGGUGCAAGCCAGUUUAAUGACCCUAUUAUGAUGUCAUAAUGGCCCAAUGUAAGUGAAUGGGAAAAUUUGUAUUAGUUUUUCUUUAAUAUUUUAAAAAGUAUAAAGUUUAGAAAAAUGAAAAAUACAUAGCAUAAGUGUCCUUUACAAGACCUACGCAGCAAAGUUUGAACAAAGUUUCUAAGUUAAGCGGUUCGAGCUGAAUUAAGCGCAGAAGUUCGGUACAAAGAAUAAUAAUAAUAAGAAGAAUAAGAAGCCUAG
ensembl:lncRNA